GACGAACGCUGGCGGCGUGCUUAACACAUGCAAGUCGAACGGAAAGGCCCUGCUUUUGUGGGGUGCUCGAGUGGCGAACGGGUGAGUAACACGUGAGUAACCUGCCCUUGACUUUGGGAUAACUUCAGGAAACUGGGGCUAAUACCGGAUAGGAGCUCCUGCUGCAUGGUGGGGGUUGGAAAGUUUCGGCGGUUGGGGAAUGACUCGCGGCUUAUCAGCUUGUUGGUGGGGUAGUGGCUUACCAAGGCUUUGACGGGUAGCCGGCCUGAGAGGGUGACCGGCCACAUUGGGACUGAGAUACGGCCCAGACUCCUACGGGAGGCAGCAGUGGGGAAUAUUGCACAAUGGGCGGAAGCCUGAUGCAGCAACGCCGUGUGCGGGAUGACGGCCUUCGGGUUGUAAACCGCUUUCGCCUGUGACGAAGCGUGAGUGACGGUAAUGGGUAAAGAAGCACCGGCUAACUACGUG
rnacentral:rRNA from 1 species